GGUCGUAAGUUAACGACCAGCUAAACUUGAAUGAUGCAGAGAAGAUUGGCAUCGUCCUUGCGCAAGGAGGACAAAAAAAAAAGUGAAAUAUUCUGCAUGAAA